rnacentral:rRNA from 1 species
UUUCAGUAUUUUACCCCCAUGGUAGAUAUUUGAAAGGAGCAAUUGCUUCACUAUGAGAUGGACCUGCGUUGUAUUAGCUAGUUGGUGAGGUAACGGCUCACCAAGGCUUCGAUACAUAGCCGACCUGAGAGGGUGAUCGGCCACACUGGGACUGAGACACGGCCCAGACUCCUACGGGAGGCAGCAGUAGGGAAUCUUCGGCAAUGGGGGCAACCCUGACCGAGCAACGCCGCGUGAGUGAAGAAGGUUUUCGGAUCGUAAAGCUCUGUUGUAAGAGAAGAACUGUGAGAAGAGUGGAAAGUUUCUCACUUGACGGUAUCUUUACAACAGAGCUUU